rnacentral:rRNA from 1 species
UACGUAGGGCGCAAGCGUUGUCCGGAAUUAUUGGGCGUAAAGAGCUCGCAGGCGGCUUGUCGCGUCGGAUGUGAAAGCCCGGGGCUUAACUCCGGGUCUGCAUUCGAUACGGGCAGGCUAGAGUUCGGUAGGGGAGAUCGGAAUUCCUGGUGUAGCGGUGAAAUGCGCAGAUAUCAGGAGGAACACCGGUGGCGAAGGCGGAUCUCUGGGCCGAUACUGACGCUGAGGAGCGAAAGCGUGGGGAGCGAACAGG